rnacentral:rRNA from 1 species
CGCACGGGUGAGUAACACGUAUGCAACCUGCCUGCCACAGCCGGAUAAUCGGGAGAAAUUCCGUCUAAUACGGCAUAAUGCAUCGACGGGACAUCCUGUUGGUGCCAAAGGUUAAUUCCGGUGGCGGAUGGGCAUGCGUCGCAUUAGUUAGUUGGCGGUGUAACGGACCACCAAGACGACGAUGCGUAGGGGUUCUGAGAGGAAGGUCCCCACACUGGUACUGAGACACGGACCAGACUCCUACGGAAGGCAGCAG